rnacentral:rRNA from 1 species
GAUGAACGCUGGCGGCGUGCCUAAUACAUGCAAGUCGAGCGAACGGACGAGAAGCUUGCUUCUCUGAUGUUAGCGGCGGACGGGUGAGUAACACGUGGAUAACCUACCUAUAAGACUGGGAUAACUUCGGGAAACCGGAGCUAAUACCGGAUAAUAUUUUGAACCGCAUGGUUCAAAAGUGAAAGACGGUCUUGCUGUCACUUAUAGAUGGAUCCGCGCUGCAUUAGCUAGUUGGUAAGGUAACGGCUUACCAAGGCAACGAUGCAUAGCCGACCUGAGAGGGUGAUCGGCCACACUGGAACUGAGACACGGUCCAGACUCCUACGGGAGGCAGCAGUAGGGAAUCUUCCGCAAUGGGCGAAAGCCUGACGGAGCAACGCCGCGUGAGUGAUGAAGGUCUUCGGAUCGUAAAACUCUGUUAUUAGGGAAGAACAUAUGUGUAAGUAACUGUGCACAUCUUGACGGUACCUAAUCAGAAAGCCACGGCUAACUACGUGCCAGCAGCCGCGGUAAUACGUAGGUGGCAAGCGUUAUCCGGAAUUAUUGGGCGUAAAGCGCGCGUAGGCGGUUUUUUAAGUCUGAUGUGAAAGCCCACGGCUCAACCGUGGAGGGUCAUUGGAAACUGGAAAACUUGAGUGCAGAAGAGGAAAGUGGAAUUCCAUGUGUAGCGGUGAAAUGCGCAGAGAUAUGGAGGAACACCAGUGGCGAAGGCGACUUUCUGGUCUGUAACUGACGCUGAUGUGCGAAAGCGUGGGGAUCAAACAGGAUUAGAUACCCUGGUAGUCCACGCCGUAAACGAUGAGUGCUAAGUGUUAGGGGGUUUCCGCCCCUUAGUGCUGCAGCUAACGCAUUAAGCACUCCGCCUGGGGAGUACGACCGCAAGGUUGGAACUCAAAGGAAUUGACGGGGACCCGCACAAGCGGUGGAGCAUGUGGUUUAAUUCGAAGCAACGCGAAGAACCUUACCAAAUCUUGACAUCCUUUGACAACUCUAGAGAUAGAGCUUUCCCCUUCGGGGGACAAAGUGACAGGUGGUGCAUGGUUGUCGUCAACUCGUGUCGUGAGAUGUUGGGUUAAGUCCCGCAACGAGCGCAACCCUUAAGCUUAGUUGCCAUCAUUAAGUUGGGCACUCUAAGUUGACUGCCGGUGACAAACCGGAGGAAGGUGGGGAUGACGUCAAAUCAUCAUGCCCCUUAUGAUUUGGGCUACACACGUGCUACAAUGGACAAUACAAAGGGCAGCGAAACCGCGAGGUCAAGCAAAUCCCAUAAAGUUGUUCUCAGUUCGGAUUGUAGUCUGCAACUCGACUACAUGAAGCUGGAAUCGCUAGUAAUCGUAGAUCAGCAUGCUACGGUGAAUACGUUCCCGGGUCU